AUUGAACGCUGGCGGCAUGCUUUACACAUGCAAGUCGAACGGUAACAGGCCGCAAGGUGCUGACGAGUGGCGAACGGGUGAGUAUGCAUCGGAACGUGCCCAGUCGUGGGGGAUAUCGCAGCGAAAGCUGUGCUAAUACCGCAUACGAUCUAUGGAUGAAAGCGGGGGACCGUAAGGCCUCGCGCGAUUGGAGCGGCCGAUGUCAGAUUAGGUAGUUGGUGGGGUAAAGGCCCACCAAGCCAACGAUCUGUAGCUGGUCUGAGAGGACGACCAGCCACGCUGGGACUGAGACACGGCCCAGACUCCUACGGGAGGCAGCAGUGGGGAAUUGUGGACAAUGGGCGCAAGCCUGAUCCAGCAAUGCCGCGUGCAGGAAGAAGGCCUUCGGGUUGUAAACUGCUUUUGUACGGAACGAAACGGUCUGGGUUAAUACCUCGGGCUAAUGACGGUACCGUAAGAAUAAGCACCGGCUAACUACGUGCCAGCCGCCGCGGUAAAAC
rnacentral:rRNA from 1 species